CCUACGGGUGGCAGCAGUGAGGAAUAUUGGUCAAUGGGCGAGAGCCUGAACCAGCCAAGUCGCGUGAGGGAAGACGGUCCUAUGGAUCGUAAACCUCUUUUGCCGGGGAGCAAAAAGCGGUACGCGUACCGCAUCGAGAGUACCCGGAGAAAAAGCAUCGGCUAACUCCGUGCCAGCAGCCGCGGUAAUACGGAGGAUGCGAGCGUUAUCCGGAUUUAUUGGGUUUAAAGGGUGCGGAGGCGGCCGUUUAAGUCAGCGGUAAAAUUUUGGGGCUCAACCCCGGAAAAGCCGUUGAAACUGGCAGUCUCGAGUUUGAGAGAGGUAGGCGGAAUGCGCGGUGUAGCGGUGAAAUGCUUAGAUAUCGCGCAGAACUCCGAUUGCGAAGGCAGCAUGCCGGGUCCACACUGACGCUGAGGCACGAAAGCGUGGGUAUCGAACAGGAUUAGAUACCCGUGUAGUC
rnacentral:rRNA from 1 species